rnacentral:lncRNA from 1 species
UUUCAAGCUACCAAUACGAUGCUCACUGAAUGUGGAGCUAGGAAGAGAUGCCAGGGUCAGCUCUUGUGAGCUGGUACCUGUUGGCUCCCGUACACCGCUAGCCAGCAGUCAGAACAGACACAACGAGAACACACUUGGAGGAGAGGAGGAGUUGGAACUCAGAUGAGGAGGUUAGGGGUCUACAGUCCUACAGAGCUGUAAUACAGCCUACGGAAACGAGUUUGAAAAUGGAAAACUAUGCUGAAUAAACUGCUUAUGACCCAACAUCAUUCCAAAGCAGAGUUGAGACUAUGGUAUAGCCGUGCACAGUGUAAGGCAUGAAGGUUGGACGAGGAUCCAGGUUCUGCAGGGGAUGGGGAUGCUGAGUAAGUGAGACACGUUUCUACAGCUUCUAGCCUGCCCAGUGCCUGCAAUGACAUCGCUGUUGCUGAUGAAGACUUACUGUUCUCAAGUGCUUAUCACACUGGGAGGAUGGCAACUGGGCAAAGCAGACACAGAAGGACAUCAUGCUGCUGACUCGUGGCUUCAGACUCUCAGUCUCCUGUAUUCCUUCCUCCUGCAAUUGCAGGGGGUGCACAAAACAUUUGCAGGCAUGAACGCAGUGAAGCAAAUAGUUGUUCUUAGGAACAAUUUCCCUUGGAGUCUUUCACAGACACCUGGAGCAAACUGGUGCUCAGGGGCACAAGGUUCCAGCUAAAAGAAACAGAAAAGUUCACAGGCUUUCCAUAUGUCCUCUGGAAAAAAACAGAAAGCCUCAAAGAUUGUUCUAAUGUUUGGACUUCAAGUUCACAGGAGUCAGCUGUAACUCAGAGGCCGUGUGCUCAAGCCAUGAAGAUGCCUGGAAUUGAGAAGACAAGAGAUCAGAUGUCAGGAGCAAGGGAGCACCAGUGGUAGAAGAACCUGCCUCCCCUGGCUCCAUCAAAGGCCACAGGCCCAUGAGAAUCACCCGGCCUGCUCUGAGCAGCACACUCGGAGGCCACAGCCACGCACAGGAAAGUGAGAGGAAGUGGAAACGUGCGAGCAGAGGGCUCAAAGCGACGGGCUCACCACCGGAAAAAAAAAAUAAAAAUAAACACGCUCAGAAAUAGUGUAACUGAUAUGCAAAGAAGAUCAAAACAAGGGUUUUAAAAUAUCUUGGCUGCUUUAGAGGAGAUGGGGGUGGUAAUUAAAGCGAGGUUGCAAAUGCGUGUUAGGGGAGUGGGGCGGUUAGGUGGAUGGUUCACUGAAGCCUGCCAGGACAUGGGAGCCUGGGAGCCCAAGGGUAUUUCAGAUGAAAAUGUGGCACUUAUAUGUGGAAUGUAAAAGAAAGUUGAACUCAUAGAAGCAGAGAAUAAAAUGGUUAUUCUCAGAGGCUGCCAGGUGGUGGGACUGGGGAGAUGUUGGUCAAAGGACACAUUUUAAUAAAUUCAAGAGAUUCAUUGCCCAUCACGGUGACUAUAGUUAACAUCAAUACAUUUUAUAUUG